GAUGAACGCUGGCGGCGUGCCUAAUACAUGCAAGUCGAGCGAACAGACGAGAGUGCUUGCACUCUCUGACGUUAGCGGCGGACGGGUGAGUAACACGUGGGUAACCUACCUAUAAGACUGGGAUAACUUCGGGAAACCGGAGCUAAUACCGGAUAAUAUUUAGCUUCGCAUGAAGCAAUAGUGAAAGACGGUUCUGCUGUCAAUUCUAGAUGGACCCGCGGUGUAUUAGCUAGUUGGUGAGGUAACGGCUCACCAAGGCAACGAUACAUAGCCGACCUGAGAGGGUGAUCGGCCACACUGGGACUGAGACACGGCCCAGACUCCUACGAUAGGCAGCAGUAGGGAAUCUUCCGCAAUGGACGAAAGUCUGACGGAGCAAUGCCGCGUGAGUGAAGAAGGUGUUCGGAUCGUAAAACUCUGUUGUAAGUGAAGAACAAGUACGUUAGUAACUGAACGUACCUUGACGGUACCUUACCAGAAAGCCACGGCUAACUACGUG
rnacentral:rRNA from 1 species